UGCCGGAUAAGGCGUCACGCUGCAUCCGACAUUUGCAUAUGAUGCCUGAUGCGACGCUGGCGCGUUUUAUCAGGCC
rnacentral:ncRNA from 1 species